UCGGAAAUAAUAGUAAGGUCUGAGGCUAAGCGUUCUGCAGCCUCCAGCCUUGAGUCGUUAAGUUCCGUAGGGUGGGUCUUCUAUUAAAAGAAGUUGAGUAAUGCAGAGUGGAAUCAUCGGCGUAGGAAUGGAUAGGACAGUUCGUUUUGGAAAGAAGAUCAUCAAUGAACAACAGAAAAAGAGUGGGAGAUAGGACAGAACCCUGUGGGACACCACUGUUAAUAGAUUUAGGGGAAGAACAGUGACCGUCUACCACGGCAGAAAUAGAACGGUCAGAAAGAAAACUGGAGAUAAAGGUACAGAGAGAAGGAUAGAAACCGUAGGAGGGUAGUUUAGAAAGCAAAGAUUUGUGCCAGACCCUAUCAAAAGCUUUUGAUAUGUCCAGCGCAAUAGCAAAAGUUUCACCGAAACGGCUAAGAGAGGAUGACCAAGAGUCAGUUAAGAAGGCUAGGAGAUCACCAGUAGAACGCCCCUUGCGGAACCCAUACUGGCGAUCAGAUAGAAGGUCAGAAGUGGAAAGGUGCUUUUGAACCUUCCGGUUAAGGAUUGAUUCAAAAGCUUUAGAUAGACAAGAAAGUAAAGCAAUAGGACGGUAGUUUGAGGGAUUGGAGCGGUCACCCUUCUUAGGCACAGGCUGUAUGAAUGCAUACUUCCAGCAAGAAGGAAAGGUAGAUGUUGACAGGCAGAGGCGAAAGAGUUUGACCAGGCAAGGUGACAGCACGGAGGCACAGUUUUUAAGGACAAUAGGAGGCACUCCAUCAGGUCCAUAAGCCUUCUGAGGAUUGAGGCCAGAGAGGGCAUAGAAAACAUCAUUUUGAAGAAUCUUUAUAACAGGCAUAAAGGAGUCAGAGGGGGGAUGAGUAGGAGGAAUAUGCCCAGAAUCGUCCAGAGUGGAGUUUUUAGAAAAGUCUGAGAGAAGAGUUCAGCCUUAGAGAUAGAUGAGACGGCAGUGUUGCCGUCAGGACUGAGGAUUGGAGGGAAAGAUGAAGUGAAGUUGGAGGAGAUGUUUUUGGCUAGAUGCCAGAAGUCACGGGAAGAGUUAGAGAAAGCAAGGUUUUGACAUUUUCUAUUAAUGAAAGAAUUUUUGGUUAGUCGGAGAAUAGAUUUGGCACGAUUUCGGGCAGAAAUGUAAAGUUCAUAAUUAGCAUUAGUUUGAAGG